rnacentral:rRNA from 1 species
UACGAGGGGGCAAGCGUUGUUCGGAAUUAUUGGGCGUAAAGGGUGCGUAGGCGGCGCGGUAUGUCUCUUGUGAAAUCUCCAGGCUCAACUUGGAGUCUGCAAGGGAAACUGCCGUGCUUGAGUACUGGAGAGGUGAGUGGAAUUCCGGUGUAGCGGUGAAAUGCGGUAGAUAUCGGGAGGAACACCUGUGGCGAAAGCGGCUCACUGGACAGUAACGUGACGACUG